rnacentral:rRNA from 1 species
GAUUGGGAUAACUUCGGGAAACCGGAGCUAAUACCGGAUAAUAUUUUGAACCGCAUGGUUCAAAAGUGAAAGACGGUCUUGCUGUCACUUAUAGAUGGAUCCGCGCUGCAUUAGCUAGUUGGUAAGGUAACGGCUUACCAAGGCAACGAUGCAUAGCCGACCUGAGAGGGUGAUCGGCCACACUGGAACUGAGACACGGUCCAGACUCCUACGGGAGGCAGCAGUAGGGAAUCUUCCGCAAUGGGCGAAAGCCUGACGGAGCAACGCCGCGUGAGUGAUGAAGGUCUUCGGAUCGUAAAACUCUGUUAUUAGGGAAGAACAUAUGUGUAAGUAACUGUGCACAUCUGAUCGUAC